rnacentral:lncRNA from 1 species
ACGACAUCGGCUUGGGACGCACAGACAGUGAACUAGAGAACCUGGGCGCUCUUCGAAGCGCAGAGCUGCUGGACCCUGAGGCAUAAGGAGCAGUCGGGUUAAACUGACUGUGCUCGGAGUCCACCGGCUCACCCAGGCGGAGCAGCAAACCUACGGCGGCUGGUGACGCGCGCGUUCCCCGCCCCCGGCCUCUCCCAUGGGUGGCGCUCGCUGGUGACGUACGGGUGUGAUGGCUGCCGCGAGGCCGGGAAGGUGAAGGAACAGGUGGAGUCAACACAAUCACUAGCCAACCCUGACCUGAAACAGCACAGAGGAGAACUCAAAUUCUUUUCAUCUUUUUGGCUUCAGCCAUGUCCACAAUGCCCACCCUGUAAAAGUCUCUUACCAUCUAAAAACUUCUCUGUUCGAGUUGUACCAGCAGAUGAUCGAUCUGUGGGUCUGUUUUAUUUUCCCUGCUAGGAGCUGGCUGUACAUAAAACUGGGUAAGGAGGUAGUGUGGAUUCAGGGACUGCUUGGGAUCCAAAUACACCUUGCAAUGGAUUUGCUGCUGCUGUGCCUACACCCCAAAUACCUAAUACUCCUCAGCUAAUGGCCUAGGUUGAGGCAAAGCUUCUGAUCACCUUGAAGUACUAAUAGCAGUUUCCAUUCAGAUUUGAGUUUGUUUCUGGUUGUAGGUUAGUAUCUGUGAGUACUGUGCUCCUGGCACUUUGGUGGGGGGGGUGGGGUGGAAGAAGACCCCAAGAUAAAUGAACUUUUCCUGAAGUGUGGACCUCAGAAUUUUAAAGCUUGUUACCAGAAGAUGAGUUUCUUCAUUGAAUACAUUUGUUUAAUGCUGAUCAAAUAUGGCUCCCCUACAUGUAAGCUGGCCUUCUUUCUCAAGCCUUCACUGUUCAUACGUGCCAGUGGAGGGCUCAGCAGCAUUCACAGAUUGUUUGUGGUGCGGAACCCUUUUUACAUGGAACACUGGAUGUAAGUAGAGUUUUGUGGACUGCACUUUGGAAAAUGCUGCUGUAAACUCUCUGAAAC